AUUUUAUUAAUAUAAAAGGUAUAUUUGAUUUCCAAUCAAAAAGUUUAAAAUUUAAAUAAAAUA
rnacentral:tRNA from 1 species